UAGUACGAGAGGACCGGAGUGGACGAACCGCUGGUGUACCAAUUAUCCUGCCAAGGGUACAGUUGGGUAGCUACGUUCGGGACGGAUAAACGCUGAAAGCAUCUAAGCGUGAAACCAGCCUUGAGAUGAGGUUUCUCAUAGCAUAAGCUAGUAAGAUCCCAUGUAGACGACAUGGUAGAUAGGCCAGGUGUGGAAGAGCCGUGAGGUUUGGAGCUGACUGGUACUAAUCGAUCGAGGGCUUUACUUA
rnacentral:rRNA from 1 species